rnacentral:SRP_RNA from 2 species
UAGUAGGGAGGGUCGGGGUGCCAGCCGUGCCCCGUUCCGAAACCGGCUAUAUGCGGAGGCCAGCAACUGCUGGGUAAACUUCCAGGUAGGCGGUUCCCGCUCGGCGGGCGGAGAUGAACCCACGCCGGGGCGGGUGGUUGCAGGGCCGGAGGCGCCCGAAGGGGCGCCCUCCAGGCCCGAGCCGUCGAAAGGGGCGAGGUCCGGGAGGGAGCAGUCCUAAGGCGGGGCAUCCACGCUUCCCCGUCAACGUGGCGGAUCUUGCCUGUCGGGAGACGGGGCCGUCGGCCUGGACCGGGGCCAGCAGGUCUGCUA